GGUGGAGGGGGGGGGGGAAUCCUUGGGGCACCAGCUGCGGGGAAGGGAAGCUUCCUGGAGAGCGGAGGGAAGUGUUUGCUUCUCCUCCCAAUGACCCCCAUGCACAAGGAGUUUCUUGCCUUCUGGGAUGCUUCCUUUCUGGAGGAGCUGGGGAGGGUAUCAAAAGAGGGAUGCCUGGAGAGAGACUGGAUGGAGAAACUGAUACUCAGAAAAGCAAAAUGAUUCACUGAAGGUCAGAGAACUAGUAAGUACUAAGGCCGGGACCUGAGCAUUU